AACUCCUAGUCAUUACUAAUAAAUGCUUCUCUGUACAAAGAUUCUAAAACCUUUUGGGAUUUAAUUUCCAGGGUUUUCACUGCUCCUUCGGUCCCAGAUUCUGUAAACCUCUCACUUGAUGCGAUGAUACUAGAUACUGGAAACAGGAAAUUAAUAUUAAACCACAGGCAGAUGCAACUAGACAGAAGUUUCUGCAAGUGGAAGGCAUGAGGACAUUCUGUAUAUGGAAUGGUGGGGUAAAGGACCAGCAGGAGAGUUGGGUUUGAAUCAUGAUAUUGUUGCCCAAAAAGAAGCUUUCAAAGGGAAGAAGCACACAGAACAGUAGAGGAAGAUGACUCAGCGUUUUGCCUCCUUGGGUGGACUGGCCUGUUGGUUCCUUCCUUUCCCGGGUACCCCUUCUCUACUUGACCGUGCUUUUGAGAGACUGAGGGCCUUGUAGUGGAAGGUGAAGAUGAAAUGAUACACAAUGCCAACAUUCUAUGGUUGCUGGCAGGCUUAGUGUGAGCCAGGCUAUUCUGGAAUUCAUGCAGUGUGGCCUACUAGGAUCCUUAAAAGGCUGUUGCCUGGGCCAAAUUGCCUGUCCACUUUUCAGCGGGAGCACAGAAGAUGCCUAAGUGGAGGAUCAUCUUCACCAGGAAGAAAUGCAACUCAGAAAUUUUCCUGGAUCUACUGUUUGGGUUGAGUGGGGGAGGGAUUUGGCAUUGUUUAUCCAUUAUGCACCCUAUUGUUUUUUUUAUGCAGAAGUGACAGGCUUACUUCUCAGAGCUGAUUAGAAGGCUGUGGGAGGUUUAAUUGAAGUGCUUAUUGGCUGAUGUGUGCUGAAAUUGCAAAGGGCGGUCCCAGCUAUUGCUGAAAAAUACUUCCUGCUUGUGAUGCCUUCAGACUCCAGGAGCAGCAUCACCCCCCCCCCCCAUCUGAGUAAAUGUUUGCUGGUAGUGCUGGUGCAAGGCAUGUCUUUUUAAAAGGAGUUACUUUCUGACCCCACCCUUCAACUGCCCUAUCCCUGCUCCUGGUAGUAGUUGGAGAGGAAGAGUAUCUUAGGAAAAGGGUAGCCUUCAUUGGAGAUCUGUGCAGCUUGCUUAGAGCAUUCUGGGGAGCAGGUCUGCCUAGUACGAUACGAUGCAGUUGGUUGUGAAUCCCUGCUGUGGGUGCUGCUGAGAGCUGGAUCAAACAGUCCCAGGCAGCCAAGUUCAGUGGUUGGGAAAGGAACAGCAGAAAUCUGUUAUACAGAGUGGGGAAUGUUUGACUUGUAGGAAAACGUAGCAAUUACACUUUUGGAAGGUGAUCUUGGGCCUUUUAUUUCAUUAAAUUUAGUAUAGCUGCCCUGAAAGGGAAAAGAACUCAAGUGAUGUUGUUUUCAAGGGUAUUGUAUUUCCAUACAGUUGGGUGUUGGCAACCUUUUCUGUUCCCAGGAGUUCUUGGAUGGUCUAAGAGUACCUUGCUGGCCCUGUGAGAGAACAUGGUUGUCUCUUGGGAGUUCAUGGCACCUGCCAGCACUAGUCAUCAAAUGAAAUACUACAAUAAAAUACACUAUUUUUGUACCACU